rnacentral:rRNA from 1 species
AGGGCACUGGAAGGUCCCUAAACCGAAAGGGGCUCUGCCCGCCCGAGGAUGGGCCGGCGGCCGAUUAGGUAGUUGGUGGGGUAACGGCCCACCAAGCCCAUAAUCGGUACGGGCAGUGAGAGCUGGAGCCCGGAGAUGGACACUGAGACACGGGUCCAGGCCCUACGGGGCGCAGCAGGCGCGAAACCUCCGCAAUGCUCGAAAGAGCGACGGGGGGACCCCAAGUGCCGUGGUACAACCACGGCUUUUCCGGAGUGUAAGAAGCUCCGGGAAUAAGGGCUGGGCAAGGCCGGUGGCAGCCGCCGCGGUAAUACCGGCGGCCCGAGUGGUGGCCACUAUUAUUGGGCCUAAAGCGUCCGUAGCCGGGCUUGUAAGUCCCUGGCGAAAUCCCACGGCUCAACCGUGGGGCUUGCUGGGGAUACUGCAAGCCUUGGGACCGGGAGAGGCCGGGGGUACUCCUGGGGUAGGGGUGAAAUCCUAUAAUCCCAGGAGGACCGCCAGUGGCGAAGGCGCCCGGCUGGAACGGGUCCGACGGUGAGGGACGAAGGCCAGGGGAGCAAACCGGAUUAGAUACCCGGGUAGUCCUGGCUGUAAAGGAUGCGGGCUAGGUGUUGCUUGGACCUCGAGUCCAAGCAGUGCCGCAGGGAAGCCGU